rnacentral:rRNA from 1 species
UACGUAGGGUGCGAGCGUUAAUCGGAAUUACUGGGCGUAAAGCGUGCGCAGGCGGUUCGUUGUGUCGGCGGUGAAAGCCCCGGGCUCAACCUGGGAAUGGCCGUUGAAACUGGCGAACUGGAGUGUGGCAGAGGGAGGUGGAAUUCCGCGUGUAGCAGUGAAAUGCGUAGAGAUGCGGAGGAACACCGAUGGCGAAGGCAGCCCCCUGGGCUAACACUGACGCUCAGGCACGAAAGCGUGGGGAGCAAACAGG